AUUGAACGCUGGCGGCAUGCCUAACACAUGCAAGUCGAACGAGUGGCGGACGGGUGAGUAAUGUCUGGGAAACUGCCUGAUGGAGGGGGAUCACUACUGGAAACGGUAGCUAAUACCGCAUACCAUCGGAUGUGCCCAGAUGGGAUUAGCUAGUAGGUGGGGUAAAGGCUCAUCUGGGCGAGGAUCCCUAGCUGGUCUGAGAGGAUGACCGGACACACGGGAACGGAGACACGGUCCAGACUCCUACGGGAGGCAGCAGUGGGGAAUAUUGCGCAAUGGGCGCAAGCCUGAUGCAGCCAGGCCGCGUGUGUGAAGAAGGCCUUCGGGGUGUAAAGUACUUUCAGCGGGGAGGCGUUACCCGCAGAAGAAGCACCGGCUAACUCCGUGCCAGCAGCCGCGGUAAUAC
rnacentral:rRNA from 1 species